rnacentral:piRNA from 1 species
UAAUCUGGAAUCAUUUGCCUCUCUGAAC